rnacentral:rRNA from 1 species
AGCGGCGGACGGGUGAGUAACGCGUGGGUAACCUGCCUCAUACAGGGGGAUAACAGUUGGAAACGGCUGCUAAUACCGCAUAAGCGCACAGUACCGCAUGGUACCGUGUGAAAAACUCCGGUGGUAUGAGAUGGACCCGCGUCUGAUUAGGUAGUUGGUGGGGUAACGGCCUACCAAGCCGACGAUCAGUAGCCGACCUGAGAGGGUGACCGGCCACAUUGGGACUGAGACACGGCCCAA